UUUUGGAGGGCAAGUCUGGUGCCAGCAGCCGCGGUAAUUCCAGCUCCAAUAGCGUAUAUUAAAGUUGUUGCAGUUAAAAAGCUCGUAGUUGAAUUUCGGGAUCAACAUGUUGGUCGUGCUUAGGUACGUACUGGCAUUAUUGAUUUCUCCCUUCUGACGAACCAUGAUGUCAUUAAUGUGGUGUCAUGGGAAUCAGGACGUAGCC
rnacentral:rRNA from 1 species